rnacentral:lncRNA from 1 species
GGCAUGAGCCACCAUGCCUGGCUGACAUGGUCCUUAUUCUUAAGGCAUGGCUUUCUGAUGUCUUAACUGGAUCUCCAGGUGUUAACAAGGCCUCUACACUCUGACUGAGCAAGAACUCCAGUAUCUUCUAGCACUACUUGACUUCUAGUAUUUUUGCUCCACUCUCAACCUCAUAACAGCCCUUCCUGAACAGUCCUUAGAGGUAAAGUGGACACUUCAUCUGCCUUACCAGUGCCCAUGCACGUCCUCAUCUUCCUUACCAAGAGAACCCAGAACUGGUUCAGAGAUCCAGGCCUCCCACCUCAGACUCAUAAGAAGAGAGCUUCUCUUCCUCCUCUGGACGCUGUCCUGUGUGUAGCACUCAGGACUGCUGAAGACAUCUAGGUAACAGCUUGAAGGUGAAACCAGCACUGAGGUUUCCUGAUUCCUGGGUGGAGCGCAGACUGGAGCCUAAGCCCUGACAGCAUGGGACUUGCAGCUCAAGUAUAUCUGUGCUUCACUGGAAGAGUUGAAAGAGCUGGAGACUGUCUGUGAUCAAUGAGCCCCUGUCACUCUCAUGACACUUUCCUGAACCAUUUCACCAGCACUCAGGCAGAAGAGGAGGACAGCAGGUGAAGUCAGAGAGAUUCAAAGCACAAGGAUUCAACUUUCUGUUGCUGGCCUUGAAGAUGCAGGAGGCCAUGAGCCAAGGAAUGCAAGCAGCCUCUGGAAGUUGAAAACGACCUAAGUGCUCAGUCCUACAGCUGCAUGGAACUGAAAUCUGCCAACACCCUGAGUGAUCCGGAAGUGGAUUUUCUCCCAAAGCCUCCUGAUAGGAGCCCCAGCCAGCUGACAGAUUGACUUCAGCACUAUGACAUCAAAGAGCCCACCCAAGGCUGUUACUGGAAGGAGGGCCUUGAGUGUAAGUUAUUCAGUUUCUUGGCGUUUUGAACAAAGACUUGGACAAAACACACAAAGUAACAAAGGACUGAAACAUAGGAACGAAGUAGGGAAAGCAGGAAUGUAUUAAAGUGAAAAAGGACCCCACAGGGUGGGAGUCGGCCCAAGCAGGUGGCUCAAGGGCCCAGUUGCAAAGUUUUCUGGGUUUUAAGUUCUCCUGUUCAGAUUCCUAUUGGCUACCCUUUAUCUGGAUGAAGAAUUUGGCCUGUGGCUAAUUAAAGGAUGAAGUGAAUUGGUGUCCUAUGCGAUGAAGGGAUGGUCCCUGCUUGGUCCUCGGCCCAUCGAAGGCACUCUCCCUGUCCAUCUGAGACAUUGAGUAGCCUUUGCUCCUUUGCUACUCUGGAGCGGGGAGGUGGGGUUUUUCCUUUUGGUUUAGCUUUAGGAAGUUGGUUUAAUUGGCCUUAGCUUCCCUGACCGUAGACCCAGGUGCUAUCCUUUUGAUUCAGCUUUAGGAAGUCAGCACGAAUUGGCCUCAGAUUCCGUGUCCCCACACCUUGGUGUUUUUCCUGGAUUCAGCACCAAUUGUCCUUAAGUUCCCUGCCUCCAGACCCUUAUUCUCCUUCCUGAAGACAGCUUGAACUUCUGACCCACAGAACUAGGAGCUAAUAAAUGAGUGUAGUUUUAAGCCACCGAGUUUGGCAAUUUGUUACAACAGCUGUCGAAAAUGAAUGUAAUCUACAAAAUAGGAGACUGUCACUUAGGGGAGGGACAGUAAUGCGUUGUGAGCACCUGGAGGGCAGAAACUGGGUGUUAUUUAUUUGGAGGCCUUACAGCCUGAUAUGUAGUAAAUGCUCAAUAAAUAUAAGUGAAUGAAUCAAUGAAUAAAUGUUA